rnacentral:rRNA from 1 species
GAAUUUUGGACAAUGGGGGCAACCCUGAUCCAGCCAUGCCGCGUGCGGGAAGAAGGCCUUCGGGUUGUAAACCGCUUUUGUCAGGGAGGAAAUCCCUUGAGCUAAUACCUCGGGGGGAUGACGGUACCUGACGAAUAAGCACCGGCCAACUACGUGCCAGCAGCCGCGGUAAUACGUAGGGUGCAAGCGUUAAUCGGAAUUACUGGGCGUAAAGCGUGCGCAGGCGGUCGUACAAGACAGAUGUGAAAUCCCCGGGCUUAACCUGGGAACUGCAUUUGUGACUGCACGGCUGGAGUGCGGCAGAGGGGGAUGGAAUUCCGCGUGUAGCAGUGAAAUGCGUAGAUAUGCGGAGGAACACCGAUGGCGAAGGCAAUCCCCUGGGCCUGCACUGACGCUCAUGCACGAAAGCGUGGGGAGCAAACAGG